GCGGAAUGAGAAUGUUGAGAAAAAUGUAUGACAAUGCCAGAAAAGAUAGAACAAGAAAUAGAAUCAUUUGUAAAAAGAUGGAGUUAGCACCCAUUGAGAAUAAAUUGUGAGAAGGAACACUUACAUGGUUUUGAAUGCAUAAUGUAGACUGAGGGAUGCACCAGUACGAAGAAGUGGUUUGAUACAUGCAUAAGGAAAGAAGGGUAUAGGUGGACUAAAAAUCAUAUGCCGGGAAUUAGUAAAAAGGAUCUGAAAUCUCAACAUCUUCUAGAAAGUAUGAUCCAAAUCAAGCGGAAUAGAGGAAAAGGAUUCAUGCAGCCAACCCCAACUAGUUUAAGAUUAAGGCUUAGUUGAGUUGAGUUACUGGCCCCACCUUCACCACCUAUGAUUUUGUGGCCUAUCUUCUUGGUUUCUUCGAAUCAAGAGAGAGGGUUCCUAACACCUACCAGGGCUUCCACAGUCAAUCUUCUCCCCUAAUUGCAACUCCCUCUCUUAUGGCACAUUGCCAACGUUAUGGGCAAUGUCCCACCUAUGCACACUUCAUGUCUUUCUCACACACACACACACACACAUCAACUAGCCCAUACUCUACCUCCUCCCUCUUUUCCCAUCUGCAUCUCCCUAUCUGUAUCCCUACAUCUCUUAGUCAUAGACAUGCCCUUUCCAUGCAAGAGAUAGAAAGGGAAGGACAGAGGGGGUGUGGUUGAGCUAAAAGAAGGGUGGAGGGCUGGCCCACUUUUACUAAUAAUAACAAUGAUGAAGAUGAUAAUAAUCUCCCUCUCUUAUGGCGCAUUGCUAGCACUAUGGACAAUGUCCCAACUCAGCCAUGUAUGGCCAUUGCAUUUAUCAUCAAAUGGUUUUGCCACCAUAGCUACCUACGCAUCCUUCGUCUGUCACUCAUGCACACAAAAGAGAUAGAAAGGGAAAAAUGAAGUGGUAGCAUGUUUGAGGUAAAAGAUGCAUGGAGGGCUGGCCCACUUUUAAUAAUAAUUAUCUCCCCCUGUAAUGGCAUAUGGCUAACAUUAUGAACAAUGUCCCACCUCGAACCCUGUGGCCAUUGCAUCUAUCAUCAGAUGGUUCUGCAACCAUUGCCACCUAUGCACAGUUCAUCCCCCCCCCCUUCUCCUCUCUCUCUCUCUCUCUCUCUCUCACACACACACACACACACACACCCUGAUCAGCCAUCACCCUGCCACUUCCCUCUUUUCUCACAUGCAUCUCCCUCCACCCCUCCUACAUCUCUGUCAUAUUUCUGCCUUCACCAUGCAAGAUUGGAAGGGAAAGCACAAGGUUAGAUCUGCCUUCACCAUGCAAGAUUGGAAAGGAAAGGACAAGGUGUGCUUGAGGUACCAGAUAAGUGGGGUGCCGUCACAAUUUUAAUGAUGAUGGUCUAUAAGUCUUGAGGGUCUUCAAAGAUUUAAUUCAACAACCACAGUUUUGAUCUCCAAGGAGAAUGAAGCUGUCAACCUAGGGAAUUCAGCCUGGUUGUUUGUCAAACAGGGUGUUUAACAUAUCAAAGGAUGUCCUACCUUGACAGAGGCAGUACAUGGAUUGGUCGGACAAGAACAGACUGGAUUCAGCAGAAGGCAUUGUGACUAUCUAGGAGCUCAUCAAUUACUGCCAUACUCAUUGCGUACCAGGAGCAAUUUAAGUUAGACGUUCAGAAAACCUAUGACACUCUAAAUUGGGACUAUUCUUGCAUCUACGAAUGUGUGUCUCUGAUUGAUGGGGAGGCUGGAACAAGGAAAUUCAGCAGUUCUUGUGGAUGACCAGCUCAGUCAUAAAUUAAGUGCUGAAGAAGCCAUCACCAGGGUGACCCCAUGUUGCCUCUGUUAUUUGUGAUUACUGUAGAUAUCCUUGCAAAAAUCCGAAGGCAGAGAAUAAUGGAUUGAUUAAAGGUCUUGGACCAAAUGGUCUGACUUUAUCUGUCCGCUGCCUCCAAUAUGCAGACGAUACAGUCAUUUUCGUAAAGCUGAACCUGAUCAAGUGGCUGCUCUGAAGACAGUUCUCACAACUUUCAUGUCCGUGGCGUCAAAUAAACCUUAACAAGACAGUUCACACCUACAAACUCAGCAACGAAAAGACUACUCUCUAAUAUAUUCAGCUGCAAAAUAGGAUGCUUCCCAUGCAUUACUUGGGUAUGCCCAUCAACCAUCAAAGCUUAUCCAGAAAUGAUUGGCCUCAGCUUAUUGAAAAAAUUCAUUGAAGGCUGACUGGGUGGAAGGGCAGAGUACCAUCCUCUGGGAGAUGCCUGAUACUGAAUGUGGUUGUCAUGUCACUACCAACUUAUUGGAUGAACAUCCACUGGGAGCCACAGUGGGUCGUAGACAGGAUAGAGUCAACAAGAGCAGCUUUCUUCUACAAAGGAUCCGACAUGAGUAGUGGUAUUCAUUAGGUAAAGUGGCAAACAGUCUGCAGAAGCCAAGAGGGAAGGACUUGGAAUGUAUCAGGAAUCUUAAUAGAGCACUACCAAGCGGUGGCAGCAUGCGUUCAAAUGCGAAGAACGGAAGGACUGUGGAAGGAUCUGGUAACAGGUUUGCAUUCGAGUGAUCAUACUGUAGCUGGUCAAAUGAGGGACCAACGAACCAAUGGACCUCAAUUCUGGAGAGUUAUCUAAAAUGUCAAAGGAUCUGUUUGUUUAUGGAUAUAAAUUUCAGCUUGGACAAGGCAAUAUUAUCCACUUGUGGCUUGAUCCUUGGAUUAAUAAUCAAUCACUAGCAUACCUCAUUCCCCACUUUGCUGCACGUGUGGAGAACAUAGGGAUAUGUGGGAGGAGCAAGGCUGAUGUUUGAAGCUGCUCCAGGAGCCAUUGAGGUGCAAAAAGAUGGAUUUUCUCUUCAAAGUCAGCCUAUGCCUUGGUUAAUGCUGGAGAAGUUGUUUUCCCAGAAAUUAACAACAUAUCGCUAAUUAAAGUUCCUCUUAAAGUCAGGAUCUUCAGCUGAGCUUUGCAUUGAAACAGAUGGCCAACCAAGGAUAAUCUUAUUGAAAGAAAUAUACAGGUGGAUCCAUAGCGUCAGAUGUGUGAAUAUCAAGAUUAAACUGCUGCUCAUCUUUACUUUGAUUGUAGCUGUGUGAAAGUUCUAUGGACAAACUAUAACUUUGUUUCAGGUGGGAAAUGCAGCUGUUGCUGAUAACAUGAGCUGGUUGAAACAGAUAAAUUUGAUACAUUAAAAGGAAGACAAGCUAGCCUAGACAAUGUAACUGCAGCCGUUCCCUGGAGUAUAUUGUAUGGGAGGAACUCGAGAAUAUUCAAACCAGGAAACAUAACGACUGGCCUCGGCAUCGACCAUGGGCAUUAGUCUCCAACUUGGUGUGUAUCUUGAAGGAAAAAGGUAAGUUCAAAGUAUAAGAGAUGUUUCAGGGAAGUCCCUGAAUCUUUUCUUGUCUCUCCCUCAAAUACCCUCCUUACCUCCCUCUUGAUCCUCUGUUUCUGUCUUCUUUCCUCUUUGUAACUGUUUCUUUCCUUUUCUCUCCCGAUCCAGGAAAAAGAUAUAACUGCUUUCAUGUCUCUAUGAAGAUGAUGGGAAAACAUCUUUAUGUUCAAAUAAUAAUAAUAAUGGAGAUCCCGCUAUUUUUCCCCUGAAAAAUGGUAUUUCUUCAUUGUUUAUGAAUUCAGGAAGAUAUCUUUGAAAUUUUAUGGAAGAGGCUGCAUCUGUAAAGUAUGAGGAAAAUAUGUAAAUGUAUUUUUAUAUCAUUUGAUAUUCUUUUAAUAAUAUAUUUAAGUUUUUAAUAUGUCACAGAUCCAACCAACAGAUCGAGUGGUUGGAACAGUGACCUAGCGAUCUAGUCCCUUGGCCAGUUUGUUGUCCAGUCCAGGUUUGAUAACCAUGGUUGUAGAUGAAGCAAAAAAGAACAACAAUAGAAUAAAACAAUGAUGACAAAUUAAUAGUGAUGAAAUAUACAUCCUACGUUAAUAGCACUUUGACACAAUGAUAGCAUUCAUGAUCACUUAUCAGCUAACAAUCACUUAGAAAGGCCAAAAGAUGCUCUCAAUACAACCUAUCACAUGACUGGAGACAUAUUUACCUAGAUCACAAGUUCAUAGAAGUGGAUGAUGCAAAAAUACUCAGACGAAAAAGAAGAGAAAACAAGGAAAAAUGGAAUAAAAAUAAUGAUACGAAGGAAUAGGAGAAAGAAAGAGCAGAAUCUGUUUAAACAGGUCAUGCAUUCCUAGUGUUGUCAAAAGUAGCUGCCCAGGCGGUCACCUAGGCACUUAAGUUGGCCGGGCUGCCUAGACUUUAAAUCCUAUUACUUAAGGUUUUCUUUUCCCACUUUUUCUUCCUAUAUGAGCCCCAUAUGAAGACGAAAGAUGGCAAUGAAAGCUACUACCAUCCAUGUAGCAACGGCCAUUGAUAGGUCAACCAGCAGCCACAAGUAGCAACAACAGUGAUUAUCACUAGUGCCAAGGUUUGUGGAUAUUUUUUCUUUCUUUAGGUCAAACUUCAUCUCCUUCUUCCCCUUUCGUUUUUCUCUCAUUUUGUUCUUCUCCUAACCCCUCUUCAUCUGACCAUUACUUUUCUUUUUUCCCCUAAUUUUUCCCCUUCAUUCUGCUUGCUUGCCUUUGUUCUGCUUGGUAGACUUUAUCCGUUUGCUGCCUCCUUGAUGGUUGUUGGUUGCAACCUACCCCCUCCUCCUGCAACCUGUUGGUCGUUGUAAUGGUAGCAAUACUGCAGCUACUCAUCUCAUAAAUUUUGGUAUUUGAAUUUCUAAGUGUGAAAAUAGGUCUUAUGCUGCCAAUAUUGAUGAACAAAGAGCAUACGUAUGAAUAUCCCCAUGCUUAUUUCUGCAUGUAAUCAAACCUAUUUACAAGAAAAACUUGGAAGGCUUUCCUUCCCAAGCGACCACCCAUGUAUCUAGGCUCCCACCUAGGCUACAUAGAGCUCUCUCUUUUUAGCUCUAAAUUUUGAAACUCCUUUCUCUGAGCCUUUCUAUGUCAAACAGCAAUCAUGGGUGGCUCAAACGGCUGAUAAGGGUUGAUGAAACUCUCUUAGAAACUCAAUUUAUGAAAGCAGAAGCUUGACUCAUCGGCCAGCUGAAGCCAACCACCAGAUUGCAUUUGGGAUAGACUAAGGCCUCAGUUGGCAUUGUCAUGGGUAGGAGAGCUGUUGUCUAAAGAGCUUUAAGACAGUAGAGGUCACCAGUAAAGCUUUCCAUAGAAAAACUUUUUAUUGUUUCUUAACUACAUUUCUAAAGUGCUAUAAAACUAUAAUACUUGAUAACCAAACAAAAAAAAAUGCUUUUAAUAUCAAGAAAUAACAAAUAAAGAACAUUGAAUAGUGCUUUCAAUUAUCUAACUAUUUAUAGUAAUUUAUAAAUUAUUUAUUUUGAUAUUUUAAUCAAAAUUACAAUAUAAAUAAUAAAUAUAAAUAUAAACAUGAUAUUAUUUUUAUAUUGGUAUUAUAAAUAUAAUAAUAAUAUGGUAUUAUUAUUUUAAUAUAGUAUUAUAAUAGUGUUAUAGAAGUACAUUAUUAUCAUAUAAUAAUAUAUAAUUGUAAUAUGAUGAUUAAAGCAUAAUAAAAAAUAAUAAUAAUAUAUUUUUAUAUUUUUAUUAUAUUAUAUUGUACUAACAAAAACCAUUAUUACAAAGUCUUGUUAAUUUUUAAAUUAUUUUUUAUAUUUUUUAUCUAAAUAAUAUAAUAAGUAAAAUUGUUACUUUUUAGGGGUGAUUACCGGGUAAUAAAGAACAUCGUAAUAGCAAACUACAUAAAUGUUUAACUUUGCUCACCCAUACAAAAUGGUAAUAAAAUUGUUCAUAUAUCCACAACCAUCGUAGCAACAUAAUUGUUCGCCUACAUUUCUCAAUAUCUAUGCUAUAAGCACAAUAUCCUAUAUAAACAAGUCAACUACUCAUAAGAAGAGUCACAAUACAAUCAAACAAUUAAUGUUUCACUCUGUUCCAUGCUCCUUCAUGUUGUUCAUCAAUCUCUAAAUAUCAUAAGGAGGUCAUCAUCAUAAAGCUGAAACCCAAAAUCCUUAAUUGCAUGAUUGUAGCAAUAAAAAGACACCAACUUAAAUGAUUAUGACAAUAAAAGUUUAAAAAAUUCCUGUUGCAAGGACUCAAAAAAAAAAAAAGAAAAGGCUUUCUGACGCAUCUCAAGCAGCAGUUUGGCAAAAAGCUCUAACUUGGAGCUUUUCCCUAAUGGACUUUUUUUCAACUUUUCGAGGAAGUAGAAAGCUGCUUCAAAAUUUUUAACAAACACAUCAAAAACAUCCAAAAGAGCUUCUAACCCUCCAAGAAAUGCUUUUUGGCCCCCCAAAAGCAAUGCCAAACAAGGCCUAAGAAGCUAGCAUAAAAACAACGAUAAUUACCAACUCGAACAUCAUAACUAUAAUAUCAAAUCCGAAUAAAUAGCAAAAUCAUUUACAUACUUGUAUCCACAUGAAACUCAAUUUUUCCUGAGUAGGCCUACCAAAUUGCGAUCAUUUAUAAACUAACAAAUCAUUUCACUUUCGGAGUAGCAAAGGACCAUAUAUCCCUUUUCCAUGAAGAACAGAUUCACCCAAAAAGCACAGAGAGAGGUCUCCUCAAUUCUAAAGCUUUGCCCACAACUCAACUGCUCAGCCAAAAAUUCUUCAAUUCCAAAUGUAAAACAGGGUUUGAAAUUCUUACAUUCCACCAUUCACCAACUUUAUUAUUUAAGCUAGCAUGUGUUGAACUCCUCUUCCUACAUGGUGAAUUUCUCUUUUUUUUCCCCUUCCCACAGUUUUUCAACAAGAUUCUAAGAAAGAACUAGAGAAACUAAAAAUACAAACUCCCAACAAAAGCAACAUUUUCAGUCAUUCUCCAAAUGACACUGAAAAAAUGGAUUGUGGCAUGAUUAAUCAUUAUGCUUGAGUCAAAAGUCCCUCUACCAUCUAAUUUUCAACCGGAAGGGAUAUAUCUCACCAUACUGAUGUAAGCAGUUAAAUGACUAGAUCCAUUCAUACUGCUACAUGCUGGAUUGUGAAGUUGACUUACUCAUGCAACAUUUCCAAAAUCAAGAUGCCAGAUGAUCUCACCUCAUAAAUGAAACAGUAGGAAUCUAUAUUAGCUCUCUCAGAGAUUAGUUUUCUAAAGCUCGUUGAGCUUCAAACCAGGCAAAAACAAUUAACUAUAUCAGUGCACCAGCACUAUUUAGACCACUAUUGAAAAGCUUGGAUUCUGUCAAAAGUUUAAAAACCAUAAUAGCUAUGUUCAGUUGUAGGUGUCAGCACAAACAUGAAGUGGCAGGCCAGUAUGGACAGCAAGAUACCAUCAUGAAGGCAUGAAAUUACUGAGAACUUUCAAGACCAUUGCUUAUAGAAGAAAGCAUAGAAUUCCUCCCGGUGGAUAGGAGCCCUGACCAUGAAGCUAGUCGUGACACUGAUUUCAGAGGCUUUAGUUCAUACAAGGCUCCCAGCAGACAGAUGACCGUCCUAAUUAUCCAUUUAAAUUACUAAGGUGCUCUUAAAAUGAUAAAUAAUGUACUGCAUCCUCCCAUUAGUAUCACGUUCUUAGCUUGGAGAAAAGUUCAACAAAUAACACAACCCUCCCACCCCCAAAAAACAAAAAAAAAAAGCACCAAAAGUGAAAAAACCAGAAGAAGAAGCUCCUAAGGGCUGCUAUAUCCAACAUGUAACAAUGGUAAGACCCUGGAAUAAUCUACAACGCACUCAGAUAAACUGAUGAAUAAGACAUAUAGCGGGCGCUGGCAUAUUUCUUAAGAAACUUACACAUUCAUGUCACUUUUUGUACUUCUAUUAAAAUAGUCUGCCACCAAGCAGACCUCACUAAAAUGUUCAAUAACAUAAAUAACACACUAACACAACAUGUUUGCAGCAGAAGCAAUCAUAAUCUUCAAUUAUGUAAAGAUCAAUUUAAAAAACAUUUUAUUAUGGUAAUUUGUUUGACCACCACCUUCUAAAAAAAGUAUGACUGACGAAAAGAACAGAUUAAGAGAGAGAGAGAGAGAAACAACAGCUAGUUACCAUAAAAUACCUCUAGUGAUUUUUGCCUUGUAAUAUCCAGUUUCAAGAUCAACAAGUUUGAACUCAACUCUUCCUGAAACCAGAAAAAUCAUAGUAAUAAAGAUUUAUUGCAAAGUGAAGUCUUCAUAAAUAAUAAAAUAUGGACCAAACAUGACAAUUCCCUGGAAGAAUAAUUACCUUGCUGUAAAACAUUUAUACUGCACAAUCACAAAGUUAAAUUGUUAACUGCUAAGAGGAAGUUGGUUGAAUGAAAUUCUGUCAGGUUCCACUUAUGAUC
rnacentral:lncRNA from 1 species